AUGAAGCGAUCUUCUUCAUCCUACGAUUUAGUCCUCCUGGCUAUUAUCGUAUGGUGCUUCCUGCUGCCAUGCUCUGCCUCCAGGGCCAAAGGCGCAGGCUUUAAUUUUCCAACCGGGGUGCGUGGAGAAGGAAUACGGCCGAAAUCACCCAAGCCCGGGGCGCCGAGGGCACAGAACUGCCCGGGCUGUGGCCACGACUACGCUCGGCCGCCGCCGGCACUCACGGCCCCCAGGCCGUCGAAGCAACAGAACUGCCCGGGGUGCGGCAAUGCCUACACUCCGCCACCAUCGUCGUCCGGUACGGCAGUUUCAGCGCCCCGGCCGCCGAACCAACAGAACUGCCCGGGGUGUGGCUAUGAAGACGCUCUGGCGCCACCCGUGGGUGCAACACGAGCGGCCCCCGGGCCACAUCACUGCCCGCGGUGUGACCAUGCCUACGCUGUAGCACUUGCGGCGCCACAGCGUAAGAACCUUCCCGGCACGAGGUACUGA
rnacentral:rRNA from 1 species